UACGAAGGGGGCUAGCGUUGCUCGGAAUCACUGGGCGUAAAGCGCACGUAGGCGGACUCUUAAGUCGGUGGUGAAAUCCUGGAGCUCAACUCCAGAACUGCCUUCGAUACUGAGAGUCUCGAGUCCGGGGGAGGUGAGUGGAACUGCGAGUGUAGAGGUGAAAUUCGUAGAUAUUCGCAAGAACACCAGUGGCGAAGGCGGCUCACUGGCCCGGUACUGACGCUGAGGUGCGAAAGCGUGGGGAGCAAACAGG
rnacentral:rRNA from 1 species